CAAUCACUUCAGCUCUCAAAUCAGAGGUAAUUCAGAGCUGGUGAGGUCCAGGAUGGUGUAUUUGAGGCCUCAGAUCUGAGUGGAGUUUAUCCAUCUUUGCAAAAUGAGCUCUGUCAGAAGUUGUAAAAUGUGGCUGCAGCUUUGAAGGAGGAGUGAAAUUCAUCCAAGGUGACAGCAGUCCUCUGCAGCUGUCUAGCUCCUGGGAAUCUGCUGGGCACUUCCCUUGUCAUGGUGCUACAGGGGCAAAUGAGCUCAUAAAUUGAGCAGGAUUGCAAAAUGCCAGGGACUAAAAAGACAGGGACUAUGGGGGGGCUCAGCCACCUCUGCAUUGCUCUGCCAUAGUCCCUUUCUAGCUUCUGAGAAUAGAGUUUUAGGGACCAAACUCAGAUGCAUCUUGCAUCAUGAUGGGAGAACUGGCUGAAAAUACAUGAAUCACAGAAUCACAGAAUGACCCGGGUUGGAAGGGACCUCAAGGAUCAUGUAGUUCCAACCCCCAAUGCAUGGAAAAUCCCUGACCUCUCAUCCUUUCUCUGGCAGACUGAGAUCUGCCCAUGGGAUGUUCCAAUCUGAGGUGCCUGGCCGCAGAAAGAAAUGCUUCUAAUGGAAAACUAUUGCCUUUAAGCAUUUGUUUUUGCCUUCUCUAUUGUUCCACUCAACAUUUCAAAGACAUCUUAAAAACAGCAGUAGGGGAAGUAGGGGAAGCUUGAACAGUUCCAGGCAUUGCUCUCCUUCAGCUCACAACAAGCUGCCAGACAGGAGCUCUGCAUAGCCCUGAUGUGUCUGCAGACGCUGCUUUUCAAUCUACCCCUGUCCUCAAUUAACAUACAAAAUCAUCAGCAGUAACAACAGACUUCCCAUACCCAUGACCUGAGCAGUUUUAUGGGUGUUUAGCAGGCACCAGCCUCAUGUCUGCAAUACAGGACUGUUUGCUUCCAGUACUGACUUAUAUAGUUCCCCAAAUGCCUGUUUAUUACAGGAUGUGAGAAUGAUGGGACAUGCAGACAUCUGUGUUAACCUCGCUGUGUUCCCUGUCUGAGUCCUGCCCUAAUUAAAUUUGGGAGUCUAGUAAUUUCUCCACGGGCCAGUUUGCAACACAGACAUCAAGUUCUCUCCUGAGAUAAUUAAACUGUUAUAAUCUGUGGGAUACAUUUUCCUGGGCUGCCUGGUUUAUACUUGGGGUUAUAAAAAGUGCAGGACAAGCUUGAAGUUGUAUCAUCUUUUUUUCCAUCUCAGUGGUAAGUAACAGUUCUUCAGCUGCCUGGGAAUUCCCUGAGCACCAUUGGCAGCAUGGUGCAUCACCAUGCUCGACUCCACCUCUGAUG
rnacentral:lncRNA from 1 species